rnacentral:rRNA from 1 species
AAUACAACUUUCAACAACGGAUCUCUUGGCUCUCGCAUCGAUGAAGAACGCAGCGAAAUGCGAUAAGUAAUGUGAAUUGCAGAAUUCAGUGAAUCAUCGAAUCUUUGAACGCACCUUGCGCCCCUUGGUAUUCCGAGGGGCAUGCCUGUUUGAGUGUCA